rnacentral:rRNA from 1 species
ACUGCUCAGUAACACGUAGUCAACAUGCCCAGGGGACGUGGAUAACCUCGGGAAACUGAGGAUAAACCGCGAUAGGCCAAGAUUUCUGGAAUGAAUCAUGGCUUAAAUCUAUAUGGCCCCUGGAUUGGACUGCGGCCGAUCAGGCUGUUGGUGAGGUAAUGGCCCACCAAACCUGUAACCGGUACGGGCUCUGAGAGGAGGAGCCCGGAGAUGGGCACUUAGACAAGGGCCCAGGCCCUAUGGGGCGCAGCAGGCGCGAAACCUCUGCAAUAAGCGAAAGCUUGACAGGGUUACUCUGAGUGAUUUCCGCUAAGGAAGUCUUUUGGCACCUCUAAAAAUGGUGCAGAAUAAGGGGUGGGCAAGUCUGGUGUCAGCCGCCGCGGUAAUACCAGCACCCCGAGUGGUCGGGACGAUUAUUGGGCCUAAAGCAUCCGUAGCCGGUCCUGCAAGUCCUCCGUUAAAUCCACCCGCUCAACGGUUGGGCCGCGGGGGAUACUACAGGGCUAGGAGGCGGGAGAGGCAAGCGGUACUCGAUGGGUAGGGGUAAAAUCCACUGAUCCAUUGAAGACCACCAGUGGCGAAGGCGGCUUGCCAGAACGCGCUCGACGGUGAGGGAUGAAAGCUGGGGGAGCAAACCGGAUUAGAUACCCGGGUAGUCCCAGCUGUAAACGAUGCAGACUCGGUGAUGGGCUGGCUUCGUGCCAACCCGGUGCCGCAGGGAAGCCGUUAAGUCUGCCGCCUGGGGAGUACGGUCGCAAGACUGAAACUUAAAGGAAUUGGCGGGGGAGCA